AGGGAAUCAAAACUCUCAGAGAAGAAUCAGAACUAGAGUCUAUCAACAGCAAUUCACUGAGUCAUAUGUAUAUAGAAUCAAACCAUCUCAUUGUAAAUAGCAGCGAUUCAAUUUGUGCAGACUUCACAACGCAGAAUACCAAGUCACGACAGGAGAGAUGGAGAGAGACUGGGAGCAUGAGAGAAGCUGCAAGUCUAAAACGAAUGGGAGGACACCAGGAUAGUAAGGUUGACGGGGGUGGGCAUCUAUUACGUCAAAGGAAAGGCAGGACGUGCUGCACAGGAUUCCUCAUCAGUUGAUGUCAGCGUUUCGGCACAGGGGAGUGAUUUAAGAGGGCACGGCGUUCUUGCCGUGCACCCACCCCUCCGAGGCUGUUCCAGUCUGCCAGUCCCGCUACGCUCUGCACUGCAAUGUAAAAACAAACAAAACACCCUGGGCCUUUUUAAUUAUCUCCGGGGCACAGUCUGACAGCUCAGAGCUGAGGAGAUAACCAGCUAAAGCGGAGUAACCAGCUAUUACACUAAAUAUUUGGGUGCGUUGCACAGCUGAGGCCAUGAGUGAGAGUGUGGGAAAUAUCGACUGGUGGAAAGUUGGAAAACAAUUCAAACCCCAACUGGCAUGAUGGUAUUAACAGCUUAUCGUUAAUGUCACUCAGUAGUUAAGAUUUGAGUUGACUGUAGAGUUUACACAAUGGAAUGGAACUUUCGGGUUGGCUUUACUCGCUCAAUGUUCUAGGGUUCUAGCCAAUGGUUUGUUGUCAGGUGAGAUGUUUUUGACAUGGUUAGGAGACAGGGUUUUGCUGGCGCCAUUCUUAUUAUUUAUGGCAGGAGGGUGGGUAACGUUGUGGGUGGGUUACAUGUUGGUAAGGGGAUGUUAUUUGAAGGUCGUGACCUUUCCUUAUUACCAAUUUACAAACCAGCCCAGUGUUGUAAAUUGCUUUAUUGUGCCACAGAGCGUGGGCACCACUCACCCGCGCAGGGCCACUUUGAAACCAUGUUGAUGUUGACCUAUGGGGUCACUGGGGUACAAGACUAUUUUAGUAAAUCAAAACUAAUCAUAAGAACUAUUUAGUAAACUGAAAUAAACUAAUUAACAAACCCGCUUGAAAAAUGAAAACUCCAAAAUAAAAUAAAAUUAAACCCUAAUGAAAUAUGUUCAGUUUUCAAUGGAAUGGGGUUUACAAUGGAAUGGCGUUUUCAAUGGAAUGGAGUUUACAAUGGAAUGGACUUUUCAAUGGAGUUUUCAAGCUACUGAAUCUGAAAUCAUAAUAUAAUAUUGUGUGUGUACAUUGUACAAUCAAUUAGAGAGAGAGCCUCAUAUCACAUUUAUUUGAAUAUAUCCACUAUACACAUAAAUCACAGCAAAUUGGUUCCUGUUUCAGCCAUGUCUUUGGUAACAUUUGCUUGGUCAAACAAAAAUCCUAAUGAAUGAAUGAGAAUAGAGCCGACGGCUGCAGGAUGAAGUUGCUGAAACUUGCAGUCGACAGCAAGCAAAACUUCAUAACGUUUGAUCCCAUGUUUUUUGUAAAGUUCAUGCGGUUUCAUGUAGGUGCAAGUCAGACUAUUUGUAUUCCCAGAAUGCAGCACACUUUGAAAGGUGGUGAAGUGAUCCGAUUAAGGUGAGCACAAUGCAAUACUUUGCUCUCACAUAGUCACGCAGAGUAGUAGCGCGAAGCGCACCCAUGCACAUGGGCAGAUACUCUGUACGACUGUGUGAGAGCAAAGUCUUGCAUCGUGCUCAUCUCAAUGGGCGCGUUUUGAGCCGGUCACUUUGGUCAAAUUGGUGACCGUUGUUGGUCACUGCCUUUCAAAGUGUGUUGCGUUGAACAUGGUUGAUACAGGACCAAAACAGCAGAAAAGUUUAGCCUCGUGCUUCAACGCUCCUGGUUGUUGCUGAAAUUAACCCACUACUACGGUUUACUUUGUGCAUCCACAUCAUCUUACUAGCCCCGUUUAUACCUGGUUCUAACAUGCGUCCUUUGUCCUGAUCUUGUCCAUAUUCUGAUUUGUGUCCACAUUUUUUAGACAGUUGUAGAUUAUUGAGAGAAGGAUUGUGAUCAGACGUUCCUGACCACCGCCACAUUGAUCUGGACAGUUAAAUCAUCCUUAUCCCGCCUUCUAAAGUCAUUGAAAGGGGGCACCAUUGACUUAUGAUGUCAAUAUGUGUCUUAAAUAAAUAAAUAAAUAUUAUUUUGAAAGAAUUUGCAUACAUGGAGGGACCAGGAAAUCUGGUACCAAUGCGGACACAGUGGAACGAUAAGAGACUCAUUUUAAUACCAUGUGUAGAUGCAUAUCUGAAAAUGUGGGCACAAUCAGAAGAAAGGAUGAGUGUUUCUCCUUUCAGGAGAAAGGAGGAAUGUUAGCGCCGGGUAUAAACUGAAACUAUAAAACAUAAACAAAAAAACAAAAAACAAGCUAGUAGUGGAUCUGAAAACUAAUUGAAUCUAAACUGAGUUUCAAAUCCAAAUCCUAGAAGGAAUAUGUUGAGUAAACAGCCUUGAGUAAAAUGUAAAAAUAAAUAAAUAAAUAUGAAAACACAAAACUAUAAUAACCUUGCUCUUCCAAGGAUCCGUGGUGAUUUUCUAUUGACAUAAACAAGUCAUUUGAGCCCUGAGACUCUUUUUCAUCAUCACUGCUUCUACCAAUGCUGCCUACGGCCGUCUGUGAAAAUACACAGGCAAUGUAAAUCAACUGUAGAAAGAUUUGAUUAAGUGAUGUCAAAGAAAGCCGGACUGAGUUUUGAAAUAGUCACCCUGUUUGCCUUUAAUAUACUCAGUAGUUGUUGAUACUUUUUUGGAUUGUUGAUCUCCUUGGCAAUAUCCAAAUAUGCUGAAAAGAAGUGUAUUCAGUGCAGUUAGUUCUGCGGAGAAUGGUCUGAUUCCAAAAGUGAGACUGAUAGAGAUCCUACUCCAGCAACAAGGGUUGGCUUUUGAUGAUAAAUGAAUCAGAAUUGUUUGUCAUCGGAUCCAUGUAAUCUAUAUAAUCCUGUGGUAUUACAUGUUGGCAGUGAAGCUUAGAGGUUUUACGCCACAGACAGUCCUGCCCUGGCUUCAAAGAGAGCCGAACCAAGGUGGGUGGACAGCAAUUCUACGACAGAGUGUUGAUAUUGAACAUCGGUGGGAUAAUUCCUUGCCAACGUAUGUGUGAACUAUGUAUUGCUCCCUCCGCUGAUAACGUGGUCACAUUCCAUCAAUACAAGUGUGUUAUCCAAAGCUUACACCCAAGUGACUGUAAAGUAGGCUCACACAUAUUCAGUCCCCAUGCUUUGGAGACUUGUACCCACAAAACGUGCUGACUUUUCUCCGUGAUAGCAUGCAGUGACAUGUCAUGCUAGUGACACGUUAUUUCUUGCCUUUUUGCUAUGUUGAAUAAUCAUCCACUUUCGUCAAAAGUCUCGAGUGAUUUUCAUGUUUUGUUUUCUAAUUGGUUGAGAAACAUGAAAUAGGGGGAUAUCUCUCCCUGGAAGGAUUGCAAUACUGUUGUCUUAAACAUUUAGAAUGGUUGUUUCCACUGGGUUUUAACAAUGACCAGCCCUUACUGAGAAACACCCCAGUAUGUGACCACCUACAAUCACCAUUUCCUUUCACCGAAUGACUUAUCUGCCUGAUAGUUUAAUUCUGUUCUGUAUCCUGAUCGUGACCCCCAGAUGGUUGCUUAUGUGUAUAAAAGUCAUUAUUUACAGUGUGAGGGUCUGACAGUGUGAGGGUCUGACUGUGUGAGGGUCUGACUGUGUGAGGGCCAUAUCUGACAAUGCGGCAGUAAGCGAGUGAGGGGCCUGGUGUUUAUUUUAUGCCGGCUAAAUGACGGGUUCAGGACUACAGCUUCCUCUUCUCUUUAAACAUAAUUACAGGGGGAUUCCUCGCUUAAACACCGUUUGAUAGUUCUGCUGAACUCUGCUGUGUUUUAUGUGACACUGUUUUCACGACGGAGUAAAAUACAGAGUCACUGAAAUUCAUAGUAUAAUAAUUUGUUUUUGACUAGUUGUGACUCAAAGAUUAUAUUGUAUAAUAGAUACUGUUAUAAAGUUAAAGUUCAACAGACAUUACCCUGCUCCCAUACCGUAAUCACCACAAUUAAGUAAUUUGAAUAAUCAAACAGAAUUAAUAACAUUAAUUAUUGAUUGUUAUAUUAAUAGUUACAUAUUUUAACACAUAUUGACAUAUACAUCUACAGUUCUUUCAAAGAUUUCACAGAAUACAAAGCUGGACUUAAUAUCUCUCUCAUAGCCGCUUGCUCCCAUGGAGAGUGCCUGAAAUGCAGCGAGGGUGAGGCGGGCCAGCCGGUGUACUGUAGCAGUGUGGACCUCCAAGGUUGUAGCAACAUACCUUCCCCAUGGUGGGUCCUGGGUCUCAGGCAACUAUUACAGGCCAAUAGACUCUACCUGGGGAAUACCUCUGUCUCUGUCUCUGUCUCUGUCGCUGUCUGUCUGUCUCUCUCUCUCUCUUGCAUGCUGUUUACCCCAACGCUGUCAAACUCAGAACCGGACCAGUCCAGAACCAAGUACUCACUGAGGGGGUGUACAUCUCCUUCAACACCACUGCUACAUCAUGUCCUUGUUUGGACGGAGUUUUGUUCUAGCUUUUGGCUUCACUUUAGCUUGUAUUAUUUCUUACAACAUAAUAUUGUCAACAUUACUAAAAACAUAAGUAGAUUUUAUGUGAACUACUCUGUUAUAAAUUACAUUGUUGCAACUUGGAAAUAGUUAUACAUUUUCACAACUUUAUGCUCGAUUGUGAGAUACUGUAUGUAAGUGCAUCAUUUAAUUUGAUGAAAAUAAAUAUAGUAAAUUGAUAA